UGAGGAAUAUUGGUCAAUGGGCGUGAGCCUGAACCAGCCAAGUAGCGUGCAGGAAGACGGCCCUAUGGGUUGUAAACUGCUUUUAUGCGGGGAUAAAGGAGUCCACGUGUGGAUUUUUGCAGGUACCGCAUGAAUAAGGACCGGCUAAUUCCGUGCCAGCAGCCGCGGUAAUACGGAAGGACCGGGCGUUAUCCGGAUUUAUUGGGUUUAAAGGGAGCGUAGGCCGCGUUUUAAGCGUGUUGUGAAAUGUAGACGCCCAACGUCUGCAUCGCAGCGCGAACUGGGACGCUUGAGUACGCGCAACGUUGGCGGAAUUCGUCGUGUAGCGGUGAAAUGCUUAGAUAUGACGAGGAACUCCGAUUGCGAAGGCAGCUGACGGGAGCGGCACUGACGCUUAAGCUCGAAGGUGCGGGUAUCAAACAGG
rnacentral:rRNA from 1 species